rnacentral:rRNA from 1 species
GAGUUUGAUCCUGGCUCAGGACGAACGCUGGCGGCGUGCUUAACACAUGCAAGUCGAACGCUGAAGCCCUGCUUGCGGGGUGGAUGAGUGGCGAACGGGUGAGUAAGACGUGAGUAACCUGCCCUGGACUCUGGGAUAAGCCUGGGAAACCGGGUCUAAUACUGGAUACGACCCCUUGUCGCAUGGUGGGGGGUGGAAAGGGUUUUUCCGGUUGUGGAUGGGCUCACGGCCUAUCAGCUGGUUGGUGGGGUAAUGGCUCACCAAGGCGACGACGGGUAGCCGGCCUGAGAGGGUGGACGGCCACACUGGGACUGAGACACGGCCCAGACUCCUACGGGAGGCAGCAGUGGGGAAUAUUGCACAAUGGGCGCAAGCCUGAUGCAGCGACGCCGCGUGAGGGAUGACGGCCUUCGGGUUGUAAACCUCUUUCGGCGCGGAAGAAGCCGCCCUUCGGGGUGGUGACGGUACGCGCGGAAGAAGCGCCGGCUAACUACGUGCCAGCAGCCGCGGUAAUACGUAGGGCGCGAGCGUUGUCCGGAAUUAUUGGGCGUAAAGAGCUCGUAGGCGGCCUGCCGCGUCCGCUGUGAAAGCCCGGGGCUCAACCCCGGGUCGGCAGUGGGUACGGGCAGGCUGGAGGCAGUAGGGGAGACCGGAAUUCCUGGUGUAGCGGUGAAAUGCACAGAUAUCAGGAGGAACACCGAUGGCGAAGGCAGGUCUCUGGGCUGUUACUGACGCUGAGGAGCGAAAGCAUGGGGAGCGAACAGGAUUAGAUACCCUGGUAGUCCAUGCCGUAAACGUUGGGCACUAGGUGUGGGGGGCAUUCCACGUCCUCCGCGCCGUAGCUAACGCAUUAAGUGCCCCGCCUGGGGAGUACGGCCGCAAGGCUAAAACUCAAAGGAAUUGACGGGGGCCCGCACAAGCGGCGGAGCAUGCGGAUUAAUUCGAUGCAACGCGAAGAACCUUACCAAGGCUUGCCAUUCACCGGACCGCCCCGGAGACGGGGUCUCCCCUUUUGGGGGCCGGUGGACAGGUGGUGCAUGGUG